rnacentral:rRNA from 1 species
AUACGUAGGUGGCGAGCGUUGUCCGGAUUUACUGGGUGUAAAGGGCGAGUAGGCGGGUAAACAAGUCAGAUGUGAAAUACCGAGGCUCAACUUCGGGGCUGCAUUUGAAACUGUUUAUCUUGAGUGAUGGAGAGGCAGGCGGAAUUCCCCGGGUAGCGGUAAAAUGCAUAGAGAUUGGGAGGAACACCAGUGGCGAAGGCGGCCUGCUGGACAUCAACUGACGCUGAGGAGCGAAAGUGUGGGGAGCAAACAGGAUUAGAUACCCUGGUAGUCCACACCGUAAACGAUGGAUACUAGGUGUGCGGGGACUGACCCCCUGCGUGCCGGAGUUAACACAUUAAGUAUCCCACCUGGGGAGUACGAUCGCAAGAUUGAGACUCAAAUGAAUUGACGGGG